rnacentral:rRNA from 1 species
GACGAACGCUGGCGGCGUGCUUAACACAUGCAAGUCGAACGGAAAGGCCCUGCUUUCGUGGGGUGCUCGAGUGGCGAACGGGUGAGUAACACGUGAGUAACCUGCCCUUGACUUUGGGAUAACUUCAGGAAACUGGGGCUAAUACCGGAUAGGAGCUCCUGCUGCAUGGUGGGGGUUGGAAAGUUUCGGCGGUUGGGGAUGGAUUCGCGGCUUAUCAGCUUGUUGGUGGGGUAGGGGCUUACCAAGGCUUUGACGGGUAGCCGGCCUGAGAGGGUGACCGGCCACAUUGGGACUGAGAUACGGCCCAGACUCCUACGGGAGGCAGCAGUGGGGAAUAUUGCACAAUGGGCGGAAGCCUGAUGCAGCAACGCCGCGUGCGGGAUGACGGCCUUCGGGUUGUAAACCGCUUUCGCCUGUGACGAAGCGUGAGUGACGGUAAUGGGUAAAGAAGCACCGGCUAACUACGUG